UUAAGCGACUAAGCGUACACGGUGGAUGCCCUGGCAGUCAGAGGCGAUGAAGGACGUGCUAAUCUGCGAAAAGCGUCGGUAAGGUGAUAUGAACCGUUAUAACCGGCGAUGUCCGAAUGGGGAAACCCAGUGCAAUUCGUUGCACUAUCGUUAACUGAAUACAUAGGUUAACGAGGCGAACCGGGGGAACUGAAACAUCUAAGUACCCCGAGGAAAAGAAAUCAACCGAGAUUCCCCCAGUAGCGGCGAGCGAACGGGGAGCAGCCCAGAGUCUGAAUCAGCUUGUGUGUUAGUGGAACGGUCUGGAAAGUCCGACGGUACAGGGUGAUAGUCCCGUACACCAAAAUGCACAGGCUGUGAACUCGAAGAGUAGGGCGGGACACGUGGUAUCCUGUCUGAAUAUGGGGGGACCAUCCUCCAAGGCUAAAUACUCCUGACUGACCGAUAGUGAACCAGUACCGUGAGGGAAAGGCGAAAAGAACCCCGGCGAGGGGAGUGAAAAAGAACCUGAAACCGUGUACGUACAAGCAGUGGGAGCACCUUCGGGUGUGACUGCGUACCUUUUGUAUAAUGGGUCAGCGACUUAUAUUCUGUAGCAAGGUUAACCGUAUAGGGGAGCCGCAGGGAAACCGAGUCUUAACUGGGCGUUAAGUUGCAGGGUAUAGACCCGAAACCCGGUGAUCUAGCCAUGGGCAGGUUGAAGGUUGGGUAACACUAACUGGAGGACCGAACCGACUAAUGUUGAAAAAUUAGCGGAUGACUUGUGGCUGGGGGUGAAAGGCCAAUCAAACCGGGAGAUAGCUGGUUCUCCCCGAAAGCUAUUUAGGUAGCGCCUCGUGAACUCAUCUUCGGGGGUAGAGCACUGUUUCGGCUAGGGGGUCAUCCCGACUUACCAACCCGAUGCAAACUACGAAUACCGAAGAAUGUUAUCACGGGAGACACACGGCGGGUGCUAACGUCCGUCGUGAAGAGGGAAACAACCCAGACCGCCAGCUAAGGUCCCAAAGUCAUGGUUAAGUGGGAAACGAUGUGGGAAGGCACAGACAGCCAGGAUGUUGGCUUAGAAGCAGCCAUCAUUUAAAGAAAGCGUAAUAGCUCACUGGUCGAGUCGGCCUGCGCGGAAGAUGUAACGGGGCUAAACCAUGCACCGAAGCUGCGGCAGCGACACUAUGUGUUGUUGGGUAGGGGAGCGUUCUGUAAGCCUGCGAAGGUGACCUGUGAGGGUUGCUGGAGGUAUCAGAAGUGCGAAUGCUGACAUAAGUAACGAUAAAGCGGGUGAAAAGCCCGCUCGCCGGAAGACCAAGGGUUCCUGUCCAACGUUAAUCGGGGCAGGGUGAGUCGACCCCUAAGGCGAGGCCGAAAGGCGUAGUCGAUGGGAAACAGGUUAAUAUUCCUGUACUUGGUGUUACUGCGAAGGGGGGACGGAGAAGGCUAUGUUAGCCGGGCGACGGUUGUCCCGGUUUAAGCAUGUAGGCUGGUUAUCCAGGCAAAUCCGGAUAAUCAAGGCUGAGGUGUGAUGACGAGGCACUACGGUGCUGAAGUAACAAAUGCCCUGCUUCCAGGAAAAGCCUCUAAGCAUCAGGUAACAUCAAAUCGUACCCCAAACCGACACAGGUGGUCAGGUAGAGAAUACCAAGGCGCUUGAGAGAACUCGGGUGAAGGAACUAGGCAAAAUGGUGCCGUAACUUCGGGAGAAGGCACGCUGGUGUGUAGGUGAAGUCCCUGCGGAUGGAGCUGAGACCAGUCGAAGAUACCAGCUGGCUGCAACUGUUUAUUAAAAACACAGCACUGUGCAAACACGAAAGUGGACGUAUACGGUGUGACGCCUGCCCGGUGCCGGAAGGUUAAUUGAUGGGGUUAUCCGUAAGGAGAAGCUCUUGAUCGAAGCCCCGGUAAACGGCGGCCGUAACUAUAACGGUCCUAAGGUAGCGAAAUUCCUUGUCGGGUAAGUUCCGACCUGCACGAAUGGCGUAAUGAUGGCCAGGCUGUCUCCACCCGAGACUCAGUGAAAUUGAACUCGCUGUGAAGAUGCAGUGUACCCGCGGCAAGACGGAAAGACCCCGUGAACCUUUACUAUAGCUUGACACUGAACAUUGAGCCUUGAUGUGUAGGAUAGGUGGGAGGCUUUGAAGCGUGGACGCCAGUCUGCGUGGAGCCAACCUUGAAAUACCACCCUUUAAUGUUUGAUGUUCUAACGUUGGCCCCUGACCGGGGUUGCGGACAGUGUCUGGUGGGUAGUUUGACUGGGGCGGUCUCCUCCCAAAGCGUAACGGAGGAGCACGAAGGUUAGCUAAUCCUGGUCGGACAUCAGGAGGUUAGUGCAAUGGCAUAAGCUAGCUUGACUGCGAGCGUGACGGCGCGAGCAGGUGCGAAAGCAGGUCAUAGUGAUCCGGUGGUUCUGAAUGGAAGGGCCAUCGCUCAACGGAUAAAAGGUACUCCGGGGAUAACAGGCUGAUACCGCCCAAGAGUUCAUAUCGACGGCGGUGUUUGGCACCUCGAUGUCGGCUCAUCACAUCCUGGGGCUGAAGUAGGUCCCAAGGGUAUGGCUGUUCGCCAUUUAAAGUGGUACGCGAGCUGGGUUUAGAACGUCGUGAGACAGUUCGGUCCCUAUCUGCCGUGGGCGCUGGAGAAUUGAGGGGGGCUGCUCCUAGUACGAGAGGACCGGAGUGGACGCAUCACUGGUGUUCGGGUUGUCAUGCCAAUGGCACUGCCCGGUAGCUAAAUGCGGAAGAGAUAAGUGCUGAAAGCAUCUAAGCACGAAACUUGCCCCGAGAUGAGUUCUCCCUGAGACUUUAAGUCUCCUGAAGGAACGUU
rnacentral:rRNA from 1 species